rnacentral:lncRNA from 1 species
CCUCUUCCACUCGCCGCAUCCAGGGGCUGCUUCACACUUUGGGUUAUCAAUCUUUGGGGCCUCCCAUUCACCAUCCUCCUCAUCAUCCCAAUCCUCAGGUUUUGUGGCCUCAGGGUCAUCUAUCUCCUCAGGGUCAUCAUCCAGCCAUCCUUCAGGUUUCACAGCAUCCUCAUCUUCAAUUUCCAUGGGAGCAUCCUCAUCCCAGUCUUCAGGUUUUACUGCAUCAGGGUCAGGAAUCUUUGCCCUCUCAUCCCAAUCCUCAGGCUUCUUGUCAUCUGGAUCAGGAAUUGUCUUCUCAGGAAUGAGCGGUGGCUGAAAAUCAUCAGCAGCGAGGAAAUUUGCCUUCUGCUUCUCCUCUCCAUCAAUUAAAAUUCUCAACUCAUUAUCAGGUUUCAAGAUGGCAGUGUAUACAUGAGUCAGUUUAUCAGAGGGCACAGAAGGUGGGUUCUUGAGAUGGUGUUCAAUGUACUCUCCACUCUUGGGAUUCUUAUGCUUUAAGAUGAA